UGAAAAGACACGGAACAGUUGUUUGUAGAUCCGACCGAGGUGAUCCAGCCAAAUACACCUAGUCCAGGAGGAGGAGAGGGCAACAGAAGAGGAAGACGACCUACAACGUGGAGGAGAGGACCUGCAGUACAGUUGCAGUGAGCCGACAGGGAGCAUGGACCAAAUGGGAAAAUGCCAUGGAGUGGUAGUUGACUUGGACAGAGCUUUGGAAGGCUAGGCCCAACUGUAUCAAGUUCCUUUCCCCGGCUGUUUAUGAUGUGUUUCCCAGUCCAUCAAACCUUCACAUAUGUGGCAAGGCAGAGACACACCAGCCUGCCCACUUUUCUCAAAUUGUGGAACCUCUGACCACAUACUAUGCUGCUGCACUAAAGCAGUGGGAGAAGGGUGGUACUGGUGGAGGCCUGACCAGGUCUUGAAUACCAUUGCAGAAUCCAUUAGCACUAGAUUCAACAGGCAAAGAAGAUCUACAAACACUUUAUGACCCAAUGUGGUUCUCAUGUCUGAGUCCAUGAAGCAAGUUGUGCUCCUGGAAUUGACAGUACUGUGUGAAGACUACCUGGAGGAAGCAUUUGAAAGAAAGUUCACCAAGCAUAAUGAUCUAGUUAGUCAAUGUCAGCAAGGUGGCUGGAGAGCCGACCAGUAUAGGUUGGUUGCAGGGUCUUUGCAACCUGAUCUCUAUUCAGAACCCUAUAUGUGCUGGGUAUUGAAAGAGAGAGGAGAAGACGAGCCUCCUGUAGUGGAACACCUAUAACACCCGAUGAGUCCAGUAACAUCAGUAAGAUAUAUGUGUGCUGCAAGGGAAACAAACCCAUGCUCUUGGUGUUGUUUGGAACCUUGUUCCACUGGCUCUACUACAUGAUCUACUACAUGAUCAUGGCCAGCAGAAGGACGUGUUUGAGCAUUGCCAGUACCCUGAGGUGACAAGCUAAAAUGUGCACAAAGAACUUCAAUAUGUCCAUAUGUGCAUGCUGCAUAAUGGAAUCAAUGAACAAAAUGUUGAGGAAAUUCUAAUGACAAAUUUAUUCAGGUUAAGAUCAAAGCUGUCUUUUAUGGUUUGAUGAAAGAAUAUCAGCCAAACAGUAAUUUAUUGUGUGGACCAGAGUAAAAAGGGUUGUUAGCUGAGAUAAAGGAAUGUCUUUGAUAAUGAUGUUAAUAAGGACAUGAUUGAUCUGUGUGCUUAUGUUUCUUAUUCAGCAGUGGACAGGAUUAAGUUCUAUCCUGCUUACCACAGGCGAAGUUUGUUGACCACAGCUUAAAAUCAUUUAAAGAAGAGUGUUUUGCAUUGCCUGCCCUUCUGUUAUGUAUUUCUUUUUUGAAACAAACAUUUCCAGGUCAAAAAGCUUCUUUUUCUAACAUUUAUUUGUAAAAAAAAAAAAAAGAAUGCAAAAAAGAAACCUGACAGUUUUCAAAAUUAUAACGCUUGUUUCAUUUCAA